rnacentral:rRNA from 1 species
CAGCAGCCGCGGUAACACGGAGGGUGCAAGCGUUAAUCGGAAUUACUGGGCGUAAAGCGCACGCAGGCGGUCUGACAAGUCAGAUGUGAAAUCCCCGGGCUUAACCUGGGAACUGCAUUUGAAACUGUCAGGCUGGAGUCUUGUAGAGGGGGGUAGAAUUCCAGGUGUAGCGGUGAAAUGCGUAGAGAUCUGGAGGAAUACCGGUGGCGAAGGCGGCCCCCUGGACAAAGACUGACGCUCAGGUGCGAAAGCGUGGGGAGCAAACAGGAUUAGAGACCCCUGUAGUCCCUGUCUCUUAUAC